rnacentral:rRNA from 1 species
UACGGGAGGGUGCAAGCGUUAUCCGGAUUCACUGGGUUUAAAGGGUGUGUAGGCGGGUGUUUAAGUCAGUGGUGAAAUCUCCAGGCUCAACCUGGAAACUGCCAUUGAUACUAUUCAUCUUGAAUUCUGUUGAGGUGGGCGGAAUAUAUCAUGUAGCGGUGAAAUGCUUAGAUAUGAUAUAGAACACCGAUUGCGAAGGCAGCUCACUAAGCAGCGAUUGACGGCUGAGGCAACGAAAGCGUGGGGAUCAAACAGG